rnacentral:tRNA from 1 species
GGAGGGGACAGCUCAGUGGUAGAGUGCGUGGCUUAGCAGGCACAAGGUCCUGGGUUCAAUCCCCAGUGCCUCCA